ACCGACGGACGGGCCUAGAGUGGUGAGGGGAGAGGCCUGGUGGUUUCCCGCUGCUCCCGCCCUUCGCCCUGCCUCCCUCGCUCCCUGCUUCUCAGCACUCCCCACCUCCAUGAUGGUUUUGAGGCCCUGGGCCUCAAGUUUGUUUUGCUUCAGCCCAAGGUAAACAUGCCUGUUUAAUUUAUGGAGAAACAUCUGCAGAGUCCAGUUUUAUGGCUUGUUCUUUGAAACGAUCACUUCGGAUACAUAAAAAAUGAGGUCAGUAACAUUGAGUCCCAAAGCAAAGAGCCGGCCUUUCCGGGCUCACCACGUAGCUUCCUCCCCGGCCCUGCUCAUGGCCCUGCCUGGCUGUCUCCUCUGCCUGGAGGCCUCUCACUCACCUUUAGGGUGGGCUCCUGGCAGGGCAGGGUGGCCUGAGGGGCCUUAGGGAGGAUUUAGGGGUGAACACCCAAGAUCCCGGGUCCAUGAGAUUCCUGGAGCCAGGAGAAGGUGGCUUCACCACUCAAUUCAGUCAUAGGGACCAGCCAGGCCCAGUCCCACAGAUGAGGAGUCCUGGAGGGUCCUAGGCCUGCUCAGGUCCUCAGGAAGCAGAUGCUGAGCGGACCUGGGGCAUGCGACAGGUGACAGUAAUGCCCAGAAGAGAUGGGGCGUCAGGAGUCACCCGACUGGCCUGAAAAUCUGAUGGCACCUCCAGCGCCACGGCGAGCUCUGGGGCCAGGGCCACCUGCUGCAGGGACCACGGGUUGAGUGGCAACAUCCAGGCCCCAGCCACUUGCAUCUCAGCCACUGGAAAGGGGACAGCCACCAUCCGAGCCCCCCAUCCAGGGGUUCCCAUGUGGGGACACCUUCUGGCAGCCCAGCUGAGCUCCCACCCCUAGCAAACACUGCCGGCCUCUCACCCCAGAGCGCUUUCAAUGGCAGCAGCCUCCAAGGGCACCCACUGAGAGACCCCAACUGAGAGCCCCCAACCACGCCCUCCGAACUCCUGGCCAGUGGGACGAGACACACUUCUGCCCACUGAGAAGGUCCUCGGCCUUGAUGUCCAGCUCUGCGGUGACGGAACCUGGACAGAGAGAGCAGGACCCCAGCAUGAGAGUAGCAAUGGACGUCACAGCAAAACAUCCACGUUUCACAGUCACGACUUCCAGGAGCAAACCGAGCCUCUCCAGCAGCAGGGUGAGAGGUGACAGGGCAC